CCUACGGGAGGCAGCAGUGGGGAAUAUUGCACAAUGGACGAAAGUCUGAUGCAGCAACGCCGCGUGGAGGAUGACACAUUUCGGUGCGUAAACUCCUUUUAUAUAGGAAGAUAAUGACGGUACUAUAUGAAUAAGCACCGGCUAACUCCGUGCCAGCAGCCGCGGUAAU
rnacentral:rRNA from 4 species